GCCUGCAUCUUGAUCUUGGACUUCCCAGACUCCAGAACUCUGGAAAUGUUCAGGCAAGAACAAAGAGCUGAACCCCAAAGGAAGGAGAAGGUCUGAGGCAUGGUGGGCUACGCUGGGGUCCUAGGAAAACUGAGAGGUUGGUUUCCUGGACAAGAUACCUGGACAUUCUGGCCCAACAGCAGCCCCAAGAGUAAACACCUGAGCUCCCAUAGAACGCUUAGCGCUCUCUGAAAUGCCUGGGGCUGAAGCAGUGACCGGACUGAUCGAAGAAAGAGGAUGAAACUCAAGAUUUUUUAUACUGUAGACCUUGAGGUCUCAAGGUAGGGCUGUGUCCCUGCCUUCUAUCUGCUGCACAGCUGGGAAUUUUCCUAGCAUCUGGGGGCUGCUCAAGGAAUGUUUCUUGAAUGAAUCAAUAAAUAAAUGGUUGUCUUUCCAUA